AUACCUCAGAAACAUACUUUUAGGUCAUGAUCUCAAAGUUUGUGGGAUCAAACCCAGUCAGUGCAGAGCCUGCUUGGAGUGCAGAGUUGCUGAAGAUCACCCAAGUAAGAGGUUGUAAAAACAUGAUUCAAGCCUAGUGCUGACGGACUCAAAGCCUAAGACCUUGACUACCACACUGGGGCCAGAAGAGAAGAUAUUGCCCUCAAGAGACUGGCUGUUUCAACGGACCAACAUGUAAUGCUGUGUUGACUGAUCUGAACAACUAACUCACAUCCCAAUUCAAAUGAUACUGUUUGUGGCAGGUUCUGGUUUAAUAAAGAUCCCAGCUUUUACCUGUUCUUACCUUAAAUAAACAGGUCCUUCUGCUACAA